rnacentral:lncRNA from 1 species
GUGAUUUCAUCUGGAAUUACUGGAAUCACACUGUCUCCUGUCAGCUUUCUCUCCCUCCCCCGGCCCUCCUGCUGAUGAGAGACAGGAGCGAUGGAUGGUCUGAGUUAGCGGGGUCCCGGCACCACCCAGCGCAAAGGCACUGCACUCACGCACGCCAUGCACAUGCUGGCUCACCUCCUCCAUCCCAUGCCUCCCCUGUCUCCAGCAUUCCCUCUGGAAUACAUCAGCACUGUUGCCUUUGAGGCUGGCCUGCUUGAAUGCACACCUGAGCUCCGGAUUCACAGAGUCUCACUCUAUCGCCAGGCUGGAGUGGUGCAGUGGCAAGAUCUCGGCUCACUACAGUCUCCACCUCCAGGGUUCAAGCCAUUCUCUUGCCUCAGCCUCCCAAGUAGCUGGGACUACAGUUACACACCACCACAUCCAGCUAAUUUUUGUAUUUUUAGUAGAGAUGGGGUUUCACCAUGUUGCCCAGGAUGGUCUCGAUCUCCUGACCUCAUGAUCUGCCCACCUUGGCCUCCCAAAGUGCUGGGAUUACAGGCGUGAGCCACCGCACCCAGCUGAUAAAACCAUCUUGAAUGACCUUCAUCACUGUGAACAGUGAUGCAGUGGCUUUAUAAACUCUAGAAUGUGCUACAAUUAUGUGUGUGUGUGUGUGUCUGUAUGUGUGUGUGUGUGUGUGUCUGUAUGUGUG